rnacentral:rRNA from 1 species
GAUGAACGCUGGCGGCGUGCCUAAUACAUGCAAGACGAGCGGUAACACUUCGGGUGACGAGCGGCGGACGGCUGAGUAACACGUAGGAAUCUACCCCAGACUGAGGGAUAAGCACCGGAAACGGUGUCUAAUGCCGCAUACGCUCUAAGGAGUAAAGCUUCGGCGGUUGGGGAAGAGCCUGCGCAUGAUUAGCUUGUUGGUAAGGUAAUGGCUUACCAAGGCGACGAUCAUUAGCUGGUCUGAGAGGAUGAUCAGCCAGACUGGGACUGAGACACGGCCCAGACUCCUACGGGAGGCAGCAGUAGGGAAUUUUCCACAAUGGGCGAAAGCCUGAUGGAGCAACGCCGCGUGCAGGAUGAAGGCCUUCGGGUUGUAAACUGCUUUUAUAUGUGAAGAUUAUGACGGUAGCAUAUGAAUAAGGAUCGGCUAACUCCGUGCCAGCAGCCGCCGUAA